CAGUCGCCGCGGUAAUACGUAGGUGGCAAGCGUUGUCCGGAAUUAUUGGGCGUAAAGCGCGCGCAGGCGGAUCAGUUAGUCUGUCUUAAAAGUUCGGGGCUUAACCCCGUGAGGGGAUGCAAACUGCUGAUCUAGAGUAUCGGAGAGGAAAGUGGAAUUCCUAGUGUAGCGGUGAAAUGCGUAGAUAUUAGGAAGAACACCAGUGGCGAAGGCGACUUUCUGGACGAAAACUGACGCUGAGGCGCGAAAGCCAGGGGAGCGAACGGGAUUAGAUACCCCCGUAGUCCCUGUCUCUUAUACA
rnacentral:rRNA from 1 species